rnacentral:tRNA from 1 species
GGGGUUGUGGCUCAGUGGUAGAGCUCUUGCCUCGCAUGUAUGAGGCACGGGGUUCAAUCCUCAGCACCA